rnacentral:rRNA from 1 species
UACAGAGGUCCCGAGCGUUGUUCGGAUUUAUUGGCGUAAAGGGUGCGUAGGUGGCAAAGUAAGUUGGAUGUGAAAUCCUGGGGCUUAACCUCAGAAUUGCAUUCAAUACUGCUUAGCUAGAGAGCUGUAGAGGAGACUGGAAUUUACGGUGUAGCAGUGAAAUGCGUAGAUAUCGUAAGGAACGCCAGUGGCGAAAGCGAGUCUCUGGGCAGCAUCUGACACUGAGGCACGAAGGCCAGGGGAGCAAACGGG